rnacentral:rRNA from 1 species
AAUCAACGCUGGCGGCGUGCCUAACACAUGCAAGUCGAGCGAGAAAAGGGGGGCAACUCCCUGAGUAAAGUGGCGCACGGGUGAGUAACACGUGGGGCUCUACCUUCUAGUGGGGUAUACCUUUGGGAAACCGAAGCUAAUACCGCAUAAGCCCGAGAGGGGAUAGGAGUAAUUCGAUGGAAGAGAAACCCGCGGCUGAUUAGCUAGUUGGUAGGAUAAUGGCCUAACAACGCUAAGGUCUGUCGCAGGCCUGAGAGGGCACACGGACCACACUGGCACUGAAACACGGGCCAGACUCCUACGGGAGGCAGCAGUGGGGAAUCUUGCAGAAUGGGGGAAACCCUGAUGCAGCGACGCCGCGUGAGCGAUGAAGCCCUUCGGGGUGUAAAGCUCUUUCGGCUGGAACGAUAAUGACGGUACCAGCAGAAGAAGCUGCGGCUAACUACGUGCCAGCCGCCGCCGUAAAAC